UGCUGUCAGGGGCACUGAAUGUGCUGGCUGUUGUAGCAGGACUGAGAUGAGUGCUGAGAUUUGACCUGCCACCCCGCUCCUCCUGUUGUAAACAAAAAAGUCUUUUGGGGAAAUUCUCACAGUACAGUGGAGAAAGCACUAGAUAUAUCAACAUGAAUGUGAACAGUCAGCAUUCAUCAGGGAAGAUACUGAAUAAAAUUACAACCUUCAGAAAUCUUCUAAUCAGCCUUUGAGCAUCCUGCUUUGGAGGUGAGGGGAGGCUCAUGGCCAUGCUGAGGGCAGGCAGGAGCAAAAGAAAUCAUGUUUCAAAGUUUUAUGAUAAACCUCUAAAAUACAUAAUUGUAUUUUAUUUGGUGUUGAUACAUAUAGUCCAUCCAACUUUUGCAUUCUCCUCCAAGGAACAUUGUUCCUUAGCAUUUGGAAAAUUGUCCCUUCUUGCUCACCUUCUCUCCCCAGAUUCAUAUGUGGGUAAAUUUUGUCAGGAUGAACAUGAGAUUGCCUUCCUUAGGGACUCAGUACAACAUUGUGUGUUCCCUUCUGGCUCUUGGAUGAGAAGUGUUUUAUUUAUGUAGGUAAUUUUUCAUAACAGAUAAACAAGUCAAAUCAAUCCCAGUGAAAUUUCUAAAGGCAGUGAGUGGAACCACUUCAUUCAGCCUGAAUCUCACUAAAGAAGUGAGUGCAAAACCUGGUAGGGCACUUUUGUUGGAAUUACUCCUCCAGUGAUCUUCACACAGUUCAGAGGCUGUGAUUUCAGAUGGAAAGAAUGAUUACUCAAAGGGUUCCUUCUGUAAAUAUGUUUUGUUGAGGAAAAAAGUAAUCUGAGCCAGGGAAAAAGCCUUCAAUGUAGAGUAGGUAAUAACAGCAGGAUGCUCCUCUGUUUCUUCAAUCCUCCUUCAUGUUUCUUUGGCUUAUAGAACUUUAUUUCCUGUUUAUGAAAUGGCUGUAUUCUUAUUGUGUAGAAUAUACUUAACAGUGUGAAAUUCAAAGAAAUACAAUGUUUUAUGCUCUUAACUUCCUCCAUAGGCUGUUUCUUUAACAAUGUGUCAUAGAGUUAAAAUAUUAGUAUGCAAGACUUUGAAGCUGAAGAGGCAGAGAAUUUUGGAAGCAAAGUUUAUACAACUCUGAAGACACUGGAGACACUUAGAAUAUGUAUUGAAUAAUCAUGUCGAUAGGCACAAGAUCCUGAGCUGUAGUGGGAUUGAUUUUUACUAAGCACAAAUAAUCUCUGAUUGUGAUACUAAAAUAAACAAAUAAACUGCUGUAUUACCACAUUGUUUCACAAAGAAAUGGGAGUUGCAAGAAAAAAAGUCUAA